UCUUAGGAAGCAGUGCUCAAGCAUCUCGGUUCGAAUCCGAGUGGCGGCAUUCUCGAAAAAGAAUACAAUAAAUUAGAAA
rnacentral:tRNA from 1 species